GUCUCUUUGUGGCAUUCGAUAAAAUUGAAAUAAUACACAUAAGAUUAUCAUAGCCCUUGAGCAAAGAUGAUACUACACAUAAAUUAGAAAAUAUAUGUCAUA